rnacentral:rRNA from 1 species
AUACGUAGGGUGCAAGCGUUAAUCGGAAUUACUGGGCGUAAAGCGUGCGCAGGCGGUUUUGUAAGACAGUUGUGAAAUCCCCGGGCUCAAACUGGGAACUGCCAUUGUGACUGCAAGGCUGGAGUGCGGCAGAGGGGGAUGGAAUUCCGCGUGUAGCAGUGAAAUGCGUAGAUAUGCGGAGGAACACCGAUGGCGAAGGCAAUCCCCUGGGCCUGCACUGACGCUCAUGCACGAAAGCGUGGGGAGCAAACAGGAUUAGAUACCCUGGUAGUCCACGCCCUAAACGAUGUCAACUGGUUGUUGGGGAUUUAUUUUCUCAGUAACGAAGCUAACGCGUGAAGUUGACCGCCUGGGGAGUACGGCCGCAAGGUUAAAACUCAAAGGAAUUGACGGGG